UGGUCGUCAUUCUGCCCCUUUCUCCGCAGAUGCCUCCCCAAUUAGCUGCUGCUUCGCAUACGUUACCAGGAAGGUUCCCAGGCAGUUUGUGGUGGACUAUGUUUACACAACCAAGCACUGUUCUAUUCCAGGGGUCGUCUUCACCACCAAGAAGGGUCGUAUGAUCUGUGCCAACCCCCAAGAAGAGUGGGUCCAGAAGUAUGUGGCCGAACUAACAGAAGAAAGAGUCUGAGCAGGAUGAAUAACUUGACAUUAAUCCAUGGGAAAAUAGAUUUGUUGCAAAAAUAAAAGUGUCUUGGACUACUUAGAACUCUGGAGGUCAAAAUAAAUUUAUUGAUAUA